rnacentral:pre_miRNA from 1 species
AGUAUAAUAGCUGGGUCAAAUGGUGGUUCCAUUCCCAGAUUUCCAAGGAAUCUCCAUACUGCUUUCCAUAUUGGCUGCACCAAUUUGCAGUCCUACCAGCAAU